ACGUUCGGGUAAUCGCGGCAAUUAUGCUGAGGAAAGUCCAUGCUCGCACGGUGCUGAGAUGCCCGUAGUGUUCGUGCCUAGCGAAACAAUAAGCUAGGGCAGCCUGGUUUCGACUGGGCUGACGGCAGGGAACGAGCCUAAGUCUUCGGAUAUGGCUCUAUUACCUUGAAAGUGCCACAGUGACGUAGCCUUGGAAGAAAUGACAAGGGUGGAACGAGGUAAACCCCGCGAGCGAGAAACCCAAAUAAUGGUAGGGGAACUUUCUCUGAGGAAUUCAACUCAAGAGAGAGGCAAGAGACAAGCUCUUGCAGAUAGAUGAUUACCACCGGAGUACGAGAUUUUUCAAUCGUAAGCAGUACGAUGGUACAGAACAUGGCUUACAGAA
rnacentral:RNase_P_RNA from 3 species